CUUGCUCCUGGUGGCGAGUGGCGAACGGGUGAGUAAUGCGUCGGAACGUACCGAGUAAUGGGGGAUAACGCAGCGAAAGCUGUGCUAAUACCGCAUACGCCCUGAGGGGGAAAGCAGGGGAUCGCAAGACCUUGCGUUAUUCGAGCGGCCGACGUCUGAUUAGCUAGUUGGUGGGGUAAAGGCCUACCAAGGCGACGAUCAGUAGCGGGUCUGAGAGGAUGAUCCGCCACACUGGAACUGAGACACGGUCCAGACUCCUACGGGAGGCAGCAGUGGGGAAUUUUGGACAAUGGGGGAAACCCUGAUCCAGCCAUUCCGCGUGAGUGAAGAAGGCCUUCGGGUUGUAAAGCUCUUUCAGCUGGAAAGAAACGGUGCGCUCUAACAUAGCGUGCUAAUGACGGUACCAGCAGAAGAAGCACCGGCUAACUACGUGCCAGCAGCCGCGGUAAUACGUAGGGUGCGAGCGUUAAACGGAAUUACUGGGCGUAAAGCGUGCGCAGGCGGAUUGUUAAGCAAGAUGUGAAAUCCCCGGGCUUAACCUGGGAAUGGCAUUUUGAACUGGCAGUCUAGAGUGUGUCAGAGGGGGGUGGAAUUCCACGUGUAGCAGUGAAAUGCGUAGAUAUGUGGAGGAACACCAAUGGCGAAGGCAGCCCCCUGGGAUAACACUGACGCUCAUGUACGAAAGCGUGGGUAGCAAACAGGAUUAGAUACCCUGGUAGUCCACGCCCUAAACGAUGUCAACUGGUUGUUGGGGGAGUGAA
rnacentral:rRNA from 1 species